GAUCCUGGCUUAGGAUGAACGCUAGCGACAGGCUAACACAUGCAAGUCGAGGGCAGCAUAGAAGUAGCAAUACUUGGUGGCGACCGGCGCACGGGUGAGUAACGCGUAUGCAACCUACCUAUCAGAGGGGAAUAACCCGGCGAAAGUCGGACUAAUACCGCAUAAAACAGGGGCACCGCAUGGUGAUAUUUGUUAAAGAAAUUCGCUGAUAGAUGGGCAUGCGUUCCAUUAGGUAGUUGGUGAGGUAACGGCUCACCAAGCCGACGAUGGAUAGGGGAACUGAGAGGUUGGUCCCCCACACUGGUGCUGAGACACGGACCAGACUCCUACGGGAGGCAGCAGUGAGGAAUAUUGGUCAAUGGGCGGGAGCCUGAACCAGCCAAGUCGCGUGAAAGGAAGAAGGAUCUAUGGUUCGUAAACUUCUUUUGCAGGGGAAUAAAGUGCAGGACGUGUCCUGUUUUGUAUGUACCCUGAGAAUAAGGAUCGGCUAACUCCGUGCCAGCAGCCGC
rnacentral:rRNA from 1 species